AUUGAACGCUGGCGGCAUGCCUUACACAUGCAAAUCGAACGGCAGCGGACCUUCGGGUGCCGGCGAGUGGCGAACGGGUGAGUAAAGUAUCGGAACGUACCUUUCAGUGGGGGAUAACGUAGAGAAAGUUACGCUAAUACCGCAUAUUCUGUGAGCGGGAAAGCAGGGGAUCGCAAGACAUUGCGCUGAUUGAGCGGCCGAUAUCAGAUUAGCUAGUUGGUGAGGUAAAGGCUCACCAAGGCGACGAUCUGUAGCGGGUCUGAGAGGAUGAUCCGCCACACUGGAACUGAGACACGGUCCAGACUCCUACGGGAGGCAGCAGUGGGGAAUUUUGGACAAUGGGGGCAACCCUGAUCCAGCCAUGCCGCGUGAGUGAAGAAGGCCUUCGGGUUGUAAAGCUCUUUCAGUAGGGAGGAAGGAUGUUGUGUUAAUAGCACAGCAUUUUGACGUUACCUACAGAAGAAGCACCGGCUAACUCUGUGCCAGCCGCCGCGGUAAUAC
rnacentral:rRNA from 1 species